ensembl:snRNA U6 U6 spliceosomal RNA
GUGCUCAUGUUGGCAGCACGUAUAUUAAAACUGGAAUGAUAUAGAGAUUUGCAUGCCUCUGUGGCAAGAAUGAUACACAAAUUCAUGAAGUAUUCUGUAUUUUU